CUCUGUCUUAUACCUUUAAUUGAAGCAGCCGUAGGGACAUAUAUUCCCUGCUGGAAGCUUUGUCCCUCUCCCUCUCUCUCCCUCCCUUCCUGACCUCUUCCCAUGGGAAUUUCGUGUGAAGGUGACACGGGUGAGAAAGAAUGUCAAGUCCCUUGGACGAGCGAAGAGAGGGGUAGCACAGAUAGUAGUGCUGGGAUUCAGAUGGAAUUCUGGCCGCUUGAACACCCGACAGAGCCAUCAGAUGAAGAUCAGCCGGUGAAAUGCCCCAUAUCCAAUUCUUCCGCUAUCAAUGUCGCCGAGAUGUCCAAGGACCGUUCAACUGAGACCGCAAGGAAGCGAGCGGAAUUCACAGUGACGACAAGGGACAGAGAGAUGAUCACCAUAGCAGAUGCAGGAACCCUUGCUGCGCGAUCAGAUCGAAAGAGGCAUCACACUCUGACCCAUGGUGACAUUGUCAUAACACCAAUCAUGAGGCCUACGCCGUCACCGCCACCGAAUUCAGCCUGCGAACUCACCUCACUCCAGAUGCUUCACCAGACGGACAGUUUCGAGCCCUCCCGUUCAUCGGCUUAGAUAUACAUAAUUAUUUUCACCCCAUACAUGCUUGCUCCAAUUCUGAUUUUCGUCACAGCCGAUAUGCGUGGAGGAGACCUCCCGAACUCUCAGAAUAUUGAAUGAGUCCCUCCUGACACUCCACUGACAACUAAUUUAGAAGACGCGCCUACGAGCAUAGGGGAAGCGAGGUCUUUAUGCUAUUGCUGACAAGAUGUCUACUUGUUUUCAAUUAUGUGGCAAUCAAAUCGGAUUGUUUUCAGAUAUGCAUGUAAAAUAAAUUAGUAAUACUGUGCCGUAGUAUUUCUUGAUGAAGAUCGAUGUAGA